rnacentral:lncRNA from 1 species
GAGAUCAACACUAGCAUCCCCUGUCACAGGAGGCACCACAGCUUUGGAGGUGCCCUGGAGGAAUGCGGACUCAUCAACCUCUGUCAAAGUGGGAACAGGUGCAAGAGCUGAUGUUAUGUCAGUGGUCCUGGUGUCAUUCUCCAGGCUGAAGUCUGAGAAACUGAAGGAGUUGCUACCUUGGUCAGAGGACAGGUUCGCCAAAGGUUCCUGAAUGGAGGCAGCAGUAUUCACCAUAGGAGCAAAUGACAUGUUCUGAGUCUGCAUGAUUGGCUCAGGUAUGGUGUGGUUUGCAUUCGCAUUGGUCAUGUUGUUGAUAACCAGAUUCUCCUCAGUGCCCAUAUUGGCCACUUUCACAGAUGUAGGCUCAGCAAGGCGCUUCUGAGAAGCCACUGGAGCCUCAUCUGGGAAGUUGACCUUGGCCUUCUUACCACGAAUCCUGCGUGCCUCAACAUCAUAAGCUCUGGCAGCUUCUUCAGGAGAGUUGUAAGU